AUAUAUAUAUAAAUAAAUAAAACAUAAAACACGAAUGCAUCUUGCCUCUGUGAGGUUCCUCCGUGGUCCCUCUGCUGUGCUAGCCUCCCCGGACCAUCUGCAUGUUCCACUUUGGAAGAGUUUUAGUUUGUAUUAUACAGACCAGACCCAGUCACCUGUUUCCGUUGUGUCAAGCUGGCCCAACAAAAGUUGCGCCCAACGUGGGGCUCGAACCCACGACCCUGAGAUUAAGAGUCUCAUGCUCUACCGACUGAGCUAGCCGGGCAGCCGUAAGGGGGCCGCUCUUCCACAGGCUGAUUGAGGUACUCGAGAACUUUCCUGUUCUAAAAUUGGUAGGGACAGGUUCUGGGUCCUGUGCGCGCUGCAACCCCGGGCAGUGGAACGCAGAAUUGGCGGACUGUUUUCAGCCAGGAGCGAGGGCGCCGCCAGGUCACCGUGUGCCGUCCUGUCCUGUCAGUGCGUCUGUGUGGCCCAGUAGCUCAGGGAAGCCGGCAAGUCUGGAGCAAGAGCAUGGGGCGAGUGUCACUGGAGACGGCCGGGCUGGCGGCAAGGAGCAAUCGGGAAGACCGCGGGGCCUCGCCGAGGGGACGAGCCGGGAAACCCUCCUUCCCAGGUGGGUGCUGGACCCCGUGUUAGAGCAAGAGGAAAGAAAAGUUGGGAGCGUUCGCGCACCUGCAGAUGGGAAGAAGUGAGCGGCGACCCCGGUUCUGACCCCCGCUUCGGGGUUCCCCGGUUGCGAGGGGCUGAGCCCGGGUCCAGAGGGGGCUCGGCGGAGCACAGGAGCCCCGGGGUCCUUUGCCGAGCGGCUGGAGGCCUGGCGGGGCUGGCCGGCCGAGCCUCAUUCGCAGGGUCCCGGACUUGGGUCCCACGUUGGGGGAAAUUUCUGGGCUGGGGCCCACGUGAGACAUCGCCGUGCUCACCUGGGCCCCGCAGACUGGCUUCUCUGGUGGCUCCGGGCGGGGGGCCCUGGCAGGGGCGGUGCUCGGGAGGGGAGGCGGGGAGAGGGUCCGGGGGCCGGAGGGUCCCCCCGCUCCCUCCUCGCCCCACCUUCUCCCCUUCCGGAAUCGAAACCGAAACCUCGCCCCGCGCACCUUUCCGAGGGACCAAGAAGCCGAGACUUGGUGGGACGGGAGCUCGGAGCCGAGGACGCAGGCCUCCAGGGAGACACCUCACGACCCGCAUCGCGGGA
rnacentral:tRNA from 1 species